GGCCUAAACUACUCAUAAAUGAGUGGCAUGGUCUCAAAACGUUGAACACAGAAAGCUCCUAGUCAGAGCACGUGUUCAACGUCAUAUUUCGAAAGGAAUGUGGGUCUCCAAGAGAUC
rnacentral:sRNA from 12 species